rnacentral:rRNA from 1 species
GAUGAACGCUGGCGGUCUGCUUAACACAUGCAAGUCGAACGGAGGUAGAAAUACCUCAGUGGCGGACGGGUGAGUAACACGUGAGAAUCUAGCUUCAGGUCGGGGAUAACAGAGGGAAACCGCUGCUAAUACCGAAUGUGCCGAGAGGUGAAAGACAAGUUGCCUGAGGAUGAGCUCGCGGCGGAUUAGCUAGUUGGUGGGGUAAAAGCCUACCAAGGCGACGAUCCGUAGCUGGUCUGAGAGGACGAGCAGCCACACUGGGACUGAGACAAGGCCCAGACUCCUACGGGAGGCAGCAGUGGGGAAUUUUCCGCAAUGGGCGAAAGCCUGACGGAGCAAGACCGCGUGAGGGAGGAAGGCUCUUGGGUUGUAAACCUCUUUUCUUUGGGAAGAAGAAAGUGACGGUACCAAAGGAAUCAGCAUCGGCUAACUCCGUGCCAGCAGCCGCGGUAAUACGGAGGAUGCAAGCGUUAUCCGGAAUCAUUGGGCGUAAAGCGUCCGCAGGUGGUGGGGCAAGUCGGCUGUCAAAGGUCACAGCUUAACUGCGAACAGGCGGUGGAAACUGCCAAAC